rnacentral:lncRNA from 1 species
CACACUGUAUAUACACUGUAUAUUUAUUGUAUUCUCUGGUAUACAUUGUAUGGGCUAUGAUGAUCUAUUUGUUGUUUGGGCCAAAUGUGUAACGAGCCCAAUAUGUCUGAGCCCCAUUUUCUUUCCGCCAUUGGGUCGUCUCACCCGACCCAAUGAUAGAUGUAUAUAUAGCCAUCCCUCAGAUAUUUUAGCUUACGGAUUUCAUUUCACUCUCUUUUCUG